AAGCAGCAUUAUGCUAAUGUGUUCGUUCACCAGGAGGAGGAGGAAGUCCUUCUUCUGUUACAACUUAGAGACAGGAUCACACACAGACGACUAACCUGCAUGGGAGAUUAGUAGAGAGGCAGAUCCUUGUUUUGUUUUCUCGGACACACACACACACAGACACACACAGACACAGACACACACACACACACACAUACAACAACAAAUAACCUACUGGGGGAUCCACAGAAACGCCCAGAGUCAAGGGAAUGAUUCGCUUCAGCACCUCCACGCCUUCGCACUGCGAGGCCUUAAGACUUGAGGAAACAGCCCCUGCAGAAGGCUGUGUUGAGGGCUGCAGGAGCUGCAUUGAUUGGAAGCCACCAAAGCCAGGGGCAACAGGUUGUAAUUGGAGCUAGCCUAGCCUAGCUUAGCCACUUAGACAUGAGUGAAUCAAGGGGAGUGUUCCGGAGCUUGUUCCUCUCCUGUCAGAAGCGGACAGCCCUCCUGCACAGAAGAAAGGUCUUGUGUCUACAUUUUGAAAACCCAAAUAAGUGACACACCUGUUACCCAAGAAAUACCUGUCACCUCCUGCCAAAGCCGGUAACCCUUUAAAACUGUGGAAAAGAGACCUCUUAUCUUCUCCAAACACCUGUUAAAGCCCUACUCAGGGAUUCAGGGAUGCUGCAUAAAUAGGUGACAAUGGCAUUUGUUGUGCUUUUAAAGAUGCCACAGAGUUCAGAUAGAAACACAGUGUGGUGGUUUGCCUCACUUUCUUCCCUCGUUUCGGGCAGAGAUGACUUUUUUUUAUCUGCUACAAAGUUAUUUGAGCGCCCCGGUUUUCAAAAUGAAAAUAAAAGUUAACCGUUUCUCCCUGCUUCGGGGCAAUAACCUCUGUUUUAAGAGAGCGCCGUGUGAAAUAGGAGAACACAGUCGUAUUAUCUCAGGGUCAGAGGUUGCAGGAACAAGGGAGGUGUUUGCUUCCAGAACGGUGAGCUCCAUGCUGGCAUGCUAUUUAUUCUAUACAGAUAUACCUGUAUAUAAUAACAGAUAAUGUGUGUGUGUGUGUGUAUGUAUAUAACAGAUAACAGACAAGCCGUCAUGAUAUCAAUGGAUUAACAUGCCUCAUAAGUAACCAUGCUUUCAGGAAAGGCAUGUUGAAGAGGACAUGGCACUUUUAUUGAUGAACGUACAAAACAGGUCUCAGUCCUGUUCCUCCCCUCUGGUUUUUGACCUGCUCACCCGUCCUGUGAUGACUUCACAUGACAGGGACGUCUUCCCUUCUUUUGAGUCCUAUCAAUGACCUCUCUGGGGGAAUGUGCUGCCCACGCUGGGGCGCAGGGGCAGGGAUUUAUGUGGACGUGGUUCCGUGGGUCCGUGGCUGGGUUUCCGUGGAAACCCGAGAGCUGCGUGUUGUUUUUGCUGUCUCUCUUUAUACAUCCCACAGCACCAUAAUCAGAUAGGGAUACAGAACCUCACAGAAUCACUGCAUUUCGAGUUGCCUUCAGAGCCCUGGCAAUCUCCGGGACACACACGAGACUCCUGGACACGACCACACACACACACACACACACACACACAGGUGUUGGUGCCAUGGUACCGAUGUGCAAUCCACUUUUGGUAUUAUUGACAAUAUGACAAUGCUAAGACCUCCAGAAGGCAGGAUGUAAUCUCUGGACUAUUAUAGUCUUUCGGCUGCUUUACCUUAACACCCCCACCCCCAUUUACCACUCUGCUUUCAACAGCACACAUGGUCUGCUUAUCACAGCUCAAGGACAGCCCCUGACUUUGAGAGACAGAGAGAGGGAGAUAAAGAGAGAUGUGAGAGGGAGAAAGUGGGAGGGCUAAUAGGAGGGGAAGAGAAGGAGAAUGGAGGCAGGUACAGACGCCCGCCAGAUGGAGAGUUCAGACCACGGCUUGUUCCUCUGAAAUGUCAGAACUGUAAAAAAAAAAAAAAAAAACGAUUCUAAAGCCUCCAUCACUGGCGGUCAGGACCAGUGUAGAGGUUAGGGAGAUGAGGCCUCCUCGGUGAACUGUGGAGGUCAUUCCGGAUGCUUGGCUCUGGCCACAGCCUCCUGAGUAGAGCUGGAGGCCAGGCAGGGAGACCGUCUUCCACACACUCAUCAAACAGGGCCUGCAGGACAUUCCGCUGCUGUUGUGACUGUGUUUGUGCGUGUGCGUGCGUGUGUGUGUGGGACUGGCAUAGAGCCGAGGGGAAAAUCCUGAGUGUUCUCAGGAGUGUGAGUCUGGAUUGAGUUGCUUUGGUUGUGAAUGAUGUUAUACAAUUGUGUGGAAAGGGGUAAUAUGUAAACCUGUGCUUGUGUGAGUUUGUGUGUCUGUAAAGGUGUAAUAUGUGAUUGUGUGUGUGUGUGUGUAUAGGGGUAAAAUGAAAAUGUCUUGUGGUUGUUGGCAGAGACUGUGUUUCUUGUGUCAUCCACAGACACGGAAUAGUUGUGUUUGUAUCUAAAUAUAUGCUUACUCUGCCAUAUAUGUAAGUCGCAUCAAUCCAACAGAAUCAUUGGGAACACGGUGUCCCUUUUGUGAUUGAAUGAAGCGCUUUACAGGCUGAGUUAUAUUCAUUUCACCACAGUAUGAAAUCUUUAUAUGACAUGCAAAGUGCUCUCCGGCCCGCAUUUACGGACAAAAUAUUUUACCUUGACUUUGCAGAACAGUAGCGCCAUCAUCUUUUAUUGGAAGACGCGUGUGCUUAGGUUGAUUAAGAAGGAGAUCCUUGGAAGUAAUUUAUGUCGUGAAAACAAGCCUUGGAGGUUGUAGCUCUGAUUUAACAUGCAUAGGGCGAACAGUAAACCAGGCGAAUACAGUAGGUCCUUCAGUGUAGCAAGAAGUUGUGUGGCUAAGGUACAGUGCUGUAUUUAGAUGAGCAGACUAAUGUGCUUGACCGGUACUUGUGCACAGUACAUACUUCUAUAAACAUACUUGCAUAAAGUAUAACACAAGGAUGAGAGUAGGGAGGGAGAUGGUGGUUAACUGGUCAAUUGGUUGUACUCAUGUUUUACAUACGUACAUAUACACAUGAACAGUAUACUGUAUUUAAAUAUGUGUAUGUAUAUGGAUACAGUAAUUACACAUCAGUUUCUUUUCCCCUCUCUUUCCAUUAAUUACCUAAUUUCAGUAUCCACCCACAGCCUCGACACCAUCAUGCCUUCCUCCUGUGCCACCUGUACCCACGCGAAGGGUUCCCACUUUCAAUUCCCCUCCUCUAAUUGAAAUAAAAAAUGUAGAGCAGGAAAUUCAGAACAAAGUCAUUAGGAUUUUAAUUUUUGUUCGUGAAGGGUUGUUGUGAGUUUCGGGGGUUCAUAACGGGGUUGUGUUUCUGAACGCUGUUUCGGUCCAGUCUGGAUUCAAGUUUUAAUAGGCAUCGGCAUCGUUGGGGAAACAAAGAGAUGCAAACGACCUUAGAACAGGAGAUUAGAUUCGAUUAGAUUGCGUUUAGAUUACAAAUUCCAAACAAACUUCUCAUGUAUUGUCAAACUCGAGCAGUAUUCAAUAUGAUGCUUAACAGGUAAUAUGACAAUCCUUUCAAGUCUGCCCCAUCCCCCAGAUACACAGCUCAACGAUCAAAUAAAUCAAUUAUUCGUGUUCGUUGUCCUUCACAGUUUGAAAUAGGAAAAUAAAGGAGCUUUGAAAUAAAGUUAAUGUUGAAAACGUCACGUUUUUUGAAGAACCAGAAACUAAUAAGAGGUUCUGCCGUUGAUGAAGAAGAGGAACAUGUAGUAGAUCAAAACAGCCACAGGUUACCUCACUGCAAACGGUUUCAUUGGAACGUCUUCUCAUCUCUACUUGAAAGCAAUACCAAAGCUCUUUGUCUGCUAUAAUGAUAUAUUUUUCUCUUUCUGCCUUUUUUUUUUUUUUUUUUGCAGUCACUGCAUAAUUACAAUGCUGGGGUUAGUGAUGGUCCCAGCCAUUUUGACUUCACAAAGACCUGAGGGGUGGAAGAUUGGAUUCUCCAAAAACACUCCUUUCGAAAAAAAAAAAAGAAUCUCUCUGUUCUGGUUCUGCAUAUCAAUGGGAAAAGAGAUGUGUUGAAAUUGCAUAUAAGGUUAUUAUAUUUUAAUAAGGAAUGGGCUUCGACAUGUCUGCACUUUCCUGCUGAAUUUGGCCGUAAAAAUGUGGAGAAGAGGGGAAACAGACUGAUAGAAAAGGGCAUAGAUUUCAAAUCAAAAGAAGGGUGUUAUUCUCUAUUAGGAUGAGUUUCUUAUUAUGUUCUCUCUCUCUCUCUCUCUUUCCCUUUCUUACUCUCUCUCUCUC